GGGUGGCAGUCGACCUGGUUCUAUUGCAAAGACAUCCUAACUACUGGUCAGUCUACUGGUCUUCCUCCUUUUUCUUUAGAGAGGCUCCAUGCCCCUCGCUCGCUGACUAUAGAAGAUCAUGAGAAGGGUGAGGUGGCCAUCUUGGUUGACGCAGUUGUGGAGUUGAUCCGGGGCGGAGUGACCGGCAUGGAUCUGCUGGAGACGUUUCUCAGUCGACGGAUCCAGCCUUUGUAGGCCGGCGACGACCCCAUGUGGAUGUACUCAGGACCAGAAGACACCACUCGUGUCCGCCGGGAGGAGGUCGGAGAGCAAACGGUGGCCCGGUGGCUUUGGAGCAUCACUGGGAAUAAAGACAACCCGUGCGGGGCGAAGCGGAUCUUGCCAUUCCACUCUGAACAUCUUCCCGGAGAGGCGUUCACAAAUAUGUACUCGCCAGUGCCGAACAGAGAGCCACACCACGGGGAGAGCGAAGGCAGUGGCGACUUUGAGUAUGCAUACGACAACAGUGACGACGUCAGUGAUGACUCUGAUGACGAUGACAAAGUUGAGUCACCACCACACUCCGAGCGUCGAUCCAAGCAGACACAAGAGCCUGCGGCUGACCAUGGCAAGGCUGUGAGGUCGAGUGCGAAGACCCAGGAUCAUGCCCGGACGACCACUCCUGAGCCGAGUGAGAAGGUUGCCAAACAGUGGUGCCACUUCUCGAGCGUCCCAUAUGGAUGUUGAUGACGAGCAAGCUGACGCGGAGACUGCGGACAUGGCCACUUUGUGAGCAGCGCCGACGGAUGUUAUUCAGCUCCCAGAUGACGACAAGGAGAAAAUUCCAAAGAACACAUGAGGAAGAGGCGGGAGCUCAACCAGCUCACGGAACCCUGCCAAGAGAGCGGCUUCAAGACGGACGUCACACCCGUUGACUGAACCUGUGGCUCAAGAUCUUGGUGGUUCAUCGUGGACUCCCGUAACCUUUGUUAUCCCAUUGUCAAGUGCUCAGCCUGCAGCGUCAAGUGUUCCAACUUCCAAUCCAACUGGUGCGUCAUUGACUCCAGCACCGACUCAGUUCACCCUGCAUCAUGUCCCAGAGGAUCAAAUAGGAUCUGUUAAGGAAGAAAUGAUCCAAGAUGGCCUGAUGAUGGAUCGACUGAAGGUGGUGUACAAGUCGAGCAAGGCUGCAUACGACGCCAGUUCCGCGCUGCAAGCCAAUGUCCGAUCUUCUUCCACUCAUGUCGGUCAGGCCGUGUCGAGUGGAGUUUUUGGUCAUUCGCUGCUGUUGAGGAGGCGAAAAUAGAAGCUGACCAACUAAAGGAGGAGAAGGUCGUCCUAACGGAGAAAGUGGACCAGCUCGCUUGGAAGAGAGAUGACCUGGAGGCUUACUUGGGAGGUCUCGCGAAGAAACUGUACAUUAUGCUCGAAUGAACAUUGAACAGGAGACCGAGCGGAUUGACACGGGCCUAGACCCCACAAAGUCAAGGAUGAAGCUGCCAUGAACAUGCUGCGACUCGAGGCUCGACUCUAGAGCGUCUUGGAUUAUAUCGCUCGACCGAAGGUGGCGCUGUCAAAGAUUGAUCAAGAGCUGUGGCCAAAGGACACUCUCCAGAAUGACCUCGGGUCUCUGAUGACGCGCUGAAUGAUAUCCCAAGUCGAGUGCAGGCAUGGAAGAAAUCGUCUGCUCGCUGUGGAGCUGAUGUGGCCCUCUCACUGGCCAGAGUCCAUUGCAAGGACGCCAAAGAAGAGAAGUUGAAGGCUCUCCAAGUGGCGAACACGAAAAACUCCAAUUUCAAUCCUUCAUGGAGACUUUCAUCGAGGCGUCCACUCGCACACCUGAUGGCAUCGACUUGGACACUUUCUUCGGACCAGCGAGCUCUCCUCCUGCCGAGUGAA